GCAAACAGUGGUCGGGUCUCAGGUCACCUACAAUGAAGCAACCUUGUGAAAAAGGGCUGACUAGACCUGUUCUUCAGUUGACCACAAUAAAAACCAACACUGACAGCAGCCUGGGAGCAUGCUGAUACCACCUACCUCGUCAGACU